GAUCAAGGCUCAGGAUGAACGCUAGCUACAGGCUUAACACAUGCAAGUCGAGGGGCAGCAUGGUCUUAGCUUGCUAAGGCCGAUGGCGACCGGCGCACGGGUGAGUAACACGUAUCCAACCUGCCGUCUACUCUUGGACAGCCUUCUGAAAGGAAGAUUAAUACAAGAUGGCAUCAUGAGUACGCAUGUUCACAUGAUUAAAGGUAUUCCGGUAGACGAUGGGAG
rnacentral:rRNA from 1 species